GAUGUGUAUGCAUGUGUAGAGACAAGUUUAUGCAGGUUUUGAGGCGUUUUGGAGGCUGUGGACACAAGGGAGCCAAGUUUCUGCCCUUCGGCAGAAACUCAGGUUCGGCCGCCGAAGUGACUUUCGGCCGCCGAACCCCCUUGUGGAGGCAGUUUCGGCUGCCGAAGCCUGCCCCCGAAACUCAUGUUUCGUCUCUGUCUAGGAGGUUCGGCCGCCGAAAGUGCCGCCGAACCUGCAUGACUUUCGGCUGCAGAGGGACUUUCGGCCGCCGAACCUGCCGCCGAAAGUGCCCUGUUUAGCCGUUCCUUGCAUGAUUUCAUGUGAUGUUUUCAGGAUGUUUUAGGGGGUCUUUGGGGAGUAUUUUGGAGUCAUGUUCAUGUAUGUUUGGUGCCUCAUUUGAGUCCACCUGUGUAGGUUCGGA
rnacentral:lncRNA from 1 species